UCGAAAUUGACGUACGUACCUGGUAUAUCGAAAAGGUGAGGGUACCUCGCUUUCAUCUCCGAUUCCAACUCCCAUGUCAUUUCCUCAAUUGCAUGGUUUCUCCACAAAACCUUAACUUGUGGUAUAACCUUCGUGCGUAAGACAUGCUCUUUCCUAUCCAAAAUCUCAACAGGUAUCUCCUCGUAUGUUAAAUCUUCAGCUAUCUCGUCUGGUUCUAAUGCAAUAAUGUGGUUCGG
rnacentral:lncRNA from 1 species